AACGAACGCUGGCGGCAUGCCUAACACAUGCAAGUCGAACGAGACCUUCGGGUCUAGUGGCGCACGGGUGCGUAACGCUUGGGAAUCUGCCACUGGGUUCGGGAUAACAGUUGGAAACGACUGCUAAUACCGGAUGAUGACUUCGGUCCAUAGAUUUAUCGCCUAGGGAUGAGUCCGCGUAGGAUUAGCUAGUUGGUGAGGUAAAGGCUCACCAAGGCGACGAUCCUUAGCUGGUCUGAGAGGAUGAUCAGCCACAAUGGGACUGAGACACGGCCCAGACUCCUACGGGAGGCAGCAGUGGGGAAUAUUGGACAAUGGGCGAAAGCCUGAUCCAGCAAUGCCGCGUGAGUGAUGAAGGCCUUAGGGUUGUAAAGCUCUUUUACCCGGGAUGAUAAUGACAGUACCGGGAGAAUAAGCCCCGGCUAACUCCGUGCCAGCCGCCGCAGUAA
rnacentral:rRNA from 1 species